UACGUAGGGUGCAAGCGUUGUCCGGAAUUAUUGGGCGUAAAGAGCUCGUAGGCGGUUUGUCGCGUCGAAUGUGAAAACCCGGGGCUCAACCCCAGGCCUGCAUUCGAUACGGGCAGACUAGAGUUCGGUAGGGGAGUCUGGAAUUCCUGGUGUAGCGGUGAAAUGCGCAGAUAUCAGGAGGAACACCGGUGGCGAAGGCGGUUCUCUGGGCAUUACCUGACGCUGAGGAGCGAAAGUGUGGGGAGCGAACAGG
rnacentral:rRNA from 1 species